rnacentral:rRNA from 1 species
CAGAGGUGGCAAGCGUUGUUCGGAAUUACUGGGCGUAAAGGGCGCGUAGGCGGCCAUCUAAGUCAGACGUGAAAUCCCCCGGCUUAACCUGGGAACUGCGUCUGAUACUGGACGGCUGGAGUAUGGGAGAGGGAUGUAGAAUUCCAGGUGUAGCGGUGAAAUGCGUAGAUAUCUGGAGGAAUACCGGUGGCGAAGGCAGCAUCCUGGACCAUUUACUGACGCUGAGGCGCGAAAGCUAGGGGAGCAAACGGGAUUAGAUACCCCGGUAGUCCUAGCCCUAAACGAUGAAUGCUUGGUGUGGCGGGUAUCGAUCCCUGCCGUGCCGAAGCUAACGCAUUAAGCAUUCCGCCUGGGGAGUACGGUCGCAAGGCUG